rnacentral:lncRNA from 1 species
GAUGAACCUCUCUAUUCUUUGCUGAAAUUCUCAGUUUGUGGCUGAAUGUGGUGGUGCAUGCCUGUAGUUCCAGCACUUCUGGAGGCCAAGGUUUUAUACACGAAUUCUGCAUUUUGCCAGAAGUUGAAGAUCUUUCUAAUACUCUGUACUCAAGAGGAAGGCAGAGCUUUCUAUGUGGAGUGACUGAAACAAUUUCGUCCAAAUGUUUGUUGCCACGGGCAAAAUAUCUAAAGAUUGUUCACUUGAAAAUUAUGACUCUUUUUCAGAAUUUUACAUCGUGUUAUUUGUUUUAUGGACUAUUCAGUAUGCAUUGCACCAACACUAAUUACUGCACUAAUAAGUCAGCGUGCUACCAAGAUGUUUUGCCAUUAUAAUUACAGCCACAUGUUGUUGUCCUUCCUCAAAUAGUCCAGGCUUAAUUGCAUCAUUUUUCAGGAGAAUUUAUGUGGUACAGCUUAAUUCAAAAUUACUACAUGAAUAAAUGAAGUGUAAACUAUUUUUUGUACUGACUCACAUACAGAAUAAAUGUUCUAG